rnacentral:rRNA from 1 species
UAGGGAAUCUUCGGCAAUGGACGAAAGUCUGACCGAGCAACGCCGCGUGAGUGAAGAAGGUUUUCGGAUCGUAAAACUCUGUUGUUAGAGAAGAACAAGGACGUUAGUAACUGAACGUCCCCUGACGGUAUCUAACCAGAAAGCCACGGCUAACUACGUGCCAGCAGCCGCGGUAAUACGUAGGUGGCAAGCGUUGUCCGGACUUAUUGGGCGUAAAGCGAGCGCAGGCGGUUUCUUAAGUCUGAUGUGAAAGCCCCCGGCUCAACCGGGGAGGGUCAUUUGCAACUGGGAGACUUGAGUGCAGAAGAGGAGAGUGGAAUUCCAUGUGUAGCGGUGAAAUUCGUCGAUAUAUGGAGGAACACCAGUGGCGAAGGCGGCUCUCUGGUCUGUAACUGACGCUUAGGCUCGAAAGCGUGGGGAGCAAACAGG